rnacentral:rRNA from 1 species
CCCUUAGAUGUUCUGGGCCGCACGCGCGCUACACUGAUGCAUUCAACGAGUUUCUUCCUGGUCCGAGAGGAAUGGGUAACCUUUUGAAAGUGCAUCGUGAUAGGGAUAGACUAUUGCAAUUAUUGGUCUUCAACGAGGAAUUCCUAGUAGACGUAGUUCAUCAGACUGCAUCGAUUACGCCCCUGCCCUUUGUACACACCGCCCGUCGCUCCUACCGAUUGAGUGGUCCGGUGAAUCUUUUGGACUGUGGCGCCGUCUCGUGCGGUGCUACGGAAAGUCAGGUGAACCUUAUCACUUAGAGGAAGGAGAAGUCGUAACA